CAAUAUAAUGCUAAAAAGUAUACAAAAAAUGAAUAUAUAUAUAUAUAUAUAUAUAAAAACAAGACAUAGGCCCGCAAACGUGGCGCAACUAAAACACAAGAUUCCUAUUUAUCUACUUUUACAAUUUUUUGCCAAUUAAUCUCAUUUCAAGUGUAAAUAAAUUUGCCCCAACAAUAAAAAAGGGUGCUUCCCCAAUUCUGCCUAAAAGGUGCCACAAUAAAACACGCUGCUUCAAUUACCAAAAAAAAAAAAAAAAGAACACGCUGCUUCACCAAUUCUCCCUUAUUGCACUCUCUCUCUUCUUGUUCGUCUUUCUAUUCUCCCCGUUCUUGCCAACAUCUCUUUGCUUCAACACUUUCUGCAAGAAAAAUCUACGCCAACUUCUCUUUGCUUCUUCUUCGUGGCCCCCACAAUUCAUCCAAUUGGCCCAGGAUGAGAAAAUUGCUUCAAGAAUGAUUUUCAAAAGAUAGAAUGAGGUGAUCUAUUGAUCAGGUUAUGAUUUAUCAUUAUUUCCUCUCGAACGCGACUUCGGUUGGUUUCAUGGCUGGUGCAACAAUCAUUCUUAUAGUGCAACAACUAAAAGGGUUGCUAGGGGUAGCCCACUUCACAAGCCAGAUACAAAUAGUUCAUGUAUUGUCUUCUUUUCCCUAGCUUUCGAGCACAAAAGAUGAAGAAGCUACCAUGUCAUUGUUGAUCGAUAAUUAUUUUUUUCCUUUUACUAUUUGAAUGAAAAAAGGUUGAGAAUUGGCGACAUGGAGAGUUGUGGAGUUAUACAUCUACACACAAUUUUAUCUCUUAGUAUAUCUCACACCGACUUACUACA